CAAGUUGUAUGCCAUAGACCCGAAACCGGGUGACCUACCCAUGGGCAGAGUGAAGUUGAAGUAAAAUUCAAUGGAGGCUCGAACCGGUUAGCGUUUAAAAGCUAUCGGAUGACCUGUGGGUAGGGGUGAAAAGCCAAUCGAACUCGGAUAUAGCUGGUUCUCCUCGAAAUAGCUUUAGGGCUAGCCUCGAGCAAGUGAUUAGGAGGUAGAGCACUGAAUGGUCUAGGGGCACAUAGUGCUACCAAAACCUAUCAAACUCCGAAUGCCGGAAUCACGUUGUUCGGGAGUCAGACUACGUGGGAUAAGCUUCGUAGUCAAAAGGGAAAGAGCCCAGACCACCAGCUAAGGUCCCUAAAUCCAAAUUAAGUGGCAAAGGAUGUGAGGUUGCACAGACAACCAGGAUGUUGGCUUAGAAGCAGCCAUACAUUUAAAGAGUGCGUAAUAGCUCACUGGUCGAGUGACCUUGCGCCGAAGAUUUCCGGGGCUAAAAUUUGGUACCGAAGCUGUGGACUCUAAUAGAGUGGUAGAGGAGCGUUCUGUAUGGGCAGAAGCCAUACCGGAAGGAGUGGUGGACUAUACAGAAGCGAGAAUGCUGGCAUGAGUAGCGAGAGGAGGGUGAGAAUCCCUCCCGUCGAAAGCCUAAGGAUUCCUGAGGAAGGCUCGUCCCCUCAGGGUUAGUCGGGACCUAAGCUGAGGUCGAAAGGCGUAGGCGAUGGACAACAGGUUGAGAUUCCUGUACUACCUAAGGGCGUUUGAGAGAAGGGGAGACGCAGGAGGAUAGGCUGAGCGCACCGUUGGUUGAGUGCGUCUAAGCAUGUAGGGAGUUAAGGUAGGCAAAUCCGCCUUAACAAUCCUGAAAUGCGAAUGGGAGCGAAAAACAAGUAGCGAAGCAGCUGACUCCACACUGCCAAGAAAAGCCUCUAUCGAGCCCAAGGGUACCCGUACCGCAAACCGACACAGGUAGGCGAGGAGAGAAUCCUAAGACGCGCGGAAGAACCUUUGUUAAGGAACUCGGCAAAAUAGCCCCGUAACUUCGGGAGAAGGGGUGCCAUCUGAGGUGAAGCAUAAAGCAGAGCCUUAGAUGGUCGCAGUGAAUAGGCC
rnacentral:rRNA from 1 species